GGGAGUGGAGUGGAGUGGAGUGGAGUGGAGUGGAGUGGGAGUGGGAGUGGGUGCAAGGGCGUGGGUGGGUGGGUGCGGCGGGCGCGCUUGUCGUGACACCUUGACUCAUCACCCCGCCUCCAACGCCUCCAACGCCUCGCUACUCCCCCUGCAACCCCCUUCCCCACGCCCCCGUCCCUCCGCUCCC
rnacentral:pre_miRNA from 1 species